rnacentral:rRNA from 1 species
ACGAGUUUGAUCAGUGGCCUACGAGGACGAACGCUGGCGGCGCGCCUAACACAUGCAAGUCGAACGGAGUCAAGAGGAGCUUGCUUUUCUUGACUUAGUGGCGAACGGGUGAGUAACGCGUGAGUAACCUGCCCUGGAGUGGGGGACAACAGUUGGAAACGACUGCUAAUACCGCAUAAGCCCACGGAUCCGCAUGGAUCUGCGGGAAAAGGAUUUAUUCGCUUCAGGAUGGACUCGCGUCCAAUUAGCUAGUUGGUGAGGUAACGGCCCACCAAGGCGACGAUUGGUAGCCGGACUGAGAGGUUGAACGGCCACAUUGGGACUGAGACACGGCCCAGACUCCUACGGGAGGCAGCAGUGGGGGAUAUUGCACAAUGGGGGAAACCCUGAUGCAGCGACGCCGCGUGGAGGAAGAAGGUUUUCGGAUUGUAAACUCCUGUCGUUAGGGACGAUAAUGACGGUACCUAACAAGAAAGCACCGGCUAACUACGUG